CCUCACCCCAGAGGGUACGGGGACCGCAGUGCCCUGUGUCCCCUCCAGCAUCGGUAUAGCCCCUCGGGACCAAUUCCGGCCACGCUGAAGGGCACGUGGUGACGUCUCGCUGGGCUCGAUUUAGUCCUCCCUAAUCGCCAGCUGUGUCGAGGAGCUUUCCGUGUGAUUAUUGCCAUCUGUCUCUGUCCUUUGGUGACGUGUCUGUUGACAUUUUUUGCCAUAUUUAGCUGCUUUCUUUUUGCUGAGUUUGGAGAAUUCUUUACGUAUUCCGGACACGAGUCCUCCAUCAGACAGACGUUUUUAAAUAUUUUCUGUUCGUCCGUGGCUCUCUCCUGAUGGUGCCUUCCCAAAUACAGAAUUUCUUAUCUUGGAUGAGGCCAAAUUUAUCCAUGUUUCCCUUUCACAAAUUGUGCUGGUCACAUCACAAGGAAGAUGUUUUUUGCCCAACCCAAAGUCACAAAGCUCCGCUCCUCUAUUUCCCUCAGAUCUGUGAUUCGGUUGAGAGUCAUCCUUUCCUCUGGCCUGAGAUGCAAACUGAAGUCACUUCCCGUGCGUGGACUUCACGGUCACUUGGCUCAGAGCCCUUGAAGGAUUCGAGUGAGGUCAGAACACCUGCGAUUCCCGCGGGUGGUGGGGAGGGUCCCGCGGUCCGUUUCUGUGGGCUGUCUCUGGACUCUGGAUGCUGUUCCACCCCUUCACCUGUGGGCCCCCUGGUUUCUCAGCUGUGCUCCUGUGAGCUCUGUGGCCGGCCCUCUGCUGUGCUGUGCCUCGGCUGCGUCCCCAAGGCUGGCACCUAGGCUCUCUGAGGUGUUGCCCUGUCCGUCAGCCCAGGCCGCAGAACAAAGCGCCACGUGGCUGCGAUGGGGACACCCACUCUCAGGCCUCCUGGGGCUCCAGUCCGGGAUCCAGGGCUGAGGCUGGACCCUCAGAGGCCUCUCUCCUUGGCUCGCAGAUGGUGGCUUCCUCCUGUGUCCCCACAAGGUCAUCCUCUGGGAGACAGUGUCCUGUUCGCCUCUUCUUGUGAGGACCCCAGUCACAAGAGAGUCCAGCUCUGCCCGCUGUUGCUGCUGGGAUGUGGCCUGAGCCUCCAGAGUGGGCCUUGGGCUGUCCAUCCGCAUGACGAGGAGCCUGGGCUUUGAGCACAGAAGGUGACACCCUACCGUGCCAGCCGGGCACGGCAGGCCCCUGGGCACUGUGUCCCGAGGUGUCCCGUACCCAAGAGCAGGGGAACCCAGAGACAGGCCUGGGGGGAUGACCCAGGUGGCCGAGGGGCUGCCCAGCAUCAGAGCACGGGGGUCCUGAGAGCCGAGGGCCACAUGUGGGCACCUCAGGGCCAGGCUCCCAGAGUCCACGGAGAGGUCCUGUAGGAUGGAUGGGAGGAGGGCGACGUGCCAGAAAGCGGAGCAGGCCAGAGGUGCUGGGGGAGCCGAGGCACAGCAGGGCUGGGGCUGCACACCGACCUGGGGACAUUCGCGGCCCUCCACGCCCUGUCUCUCACGGCCUCCGAUCUGCAGGUCUCUAAGACUUGACCGCGUGGACUCCGUCCUCUGAGCCGUCUUCGACUCCAGGUCCCUGCAUGGCCCUGCCCCUCACAGGGACGGAGCGUUCUCCCUCCCCUUGGACUGACGCUCGCCGGGGCACACGUAGGGUCUGGGUGUACUUGGAGUGUCCCCCAGGGGUCCUUGGUCCCCAGGGUGGGGCACAGGAGGUGCAGGGCCCAGCAGAGGUCUCUCGGUCUCGGUUGUGGGUGGCAUCUGUCUCCCUCUGCUCCUGGUUCAGGUCGCUGGCUCAGACACGGGUCCCCAGCCUGCCAUCAGCCACAUGCCAUGAGAUCGUCACCAGCACUGAGCCCAGGUCAGCACCAGGCCUCGGGCCUCGGGCCUGUGACCUGGAGGAAGCGUCUUGCUAGUGCGGCCGGCUGCUGCGGGGCGCCUCCCCACGCGCUCACUGUCCUGCUCUGCCCAGGCCUCGAGCCCCUGCAGCUGUCCCCAGGUCCUCUAUUUGGUUCCCAGACUCUGCGGAGAGCUCGGCCUGCCCCAUGGCCACUCAGAACUGCUGAGCGUCACCUCAGUUCCUCUCCCUGCAGGGACAACGCCACACCCUGGAGCAGCUGCCGCCGGGACACGGCCGCUGCCUCCCUCUCUGGUCUCUUGUCCAAGGGGCGGUUGGUUAUUGAUGUUUGACUUGCAACUCGGGAGGCUGAGGCAGGACGGUCAAGUUCAAGGCCAGCCUCAGCUCAGAAGCUAGCAAGGCCCUGACUCAAGAUAAAAAGGGCUGGGAAAGUAGCCAGUGGUAGAGCUGCCUGGCUCACCCCCCAGAACCGAGAAAAGAAAGUAACCAAGAGCCCCCCAAGACUGGACACUCGGUGAGGGGAAGAAUGAGCAAGAGGAAGUUCCUUGCGACGGUCCCCUCGGCCCUCCCCCUCUGCCACCGCCAGGCCAGCCCAGCGGCCCGGGCCAGGCGGGAAGAGGCUCCGUGAUCUCGGGCACCGGCAUCACCUGCUCUGGCUUUCAAGGUCAGGGAGACUCUCCCCUGUGGCCUUUCAAGUGUGUCAUUAGCUCAGUUCAUUUAGAUCUGAUUGACUUCGAGUCAGUUUAGCAGAGAUCACGGGGUCUGGGUCGCGGGCUUCUCCUGAAGUGGGUCGUCAACUGCUCCAGCCCCGUCUGUUGGAAAGGAUCGUCCCUCUUGCUAGGUCUGCAUGUGACCCCAUCGCAGGGGUGGGAAGAGGCGGUGUGCUCCUGUGCAGCCGGGGACGCCCUGAGAGGCCCUCACGGACGCAGGGUCCUGCACCCUGACCUGCUCUUCCAGCCGGAGGAACUGCAGGCGGCUCUGCGGCUCCCAAGGCAGAGCCGGGGCCCCUAGUCAGAGCUGCACAAAGGAGCCAGGGCCCCUCUACCCCGCCACCCUGGCACCUGCAGGAAGCAGGGUCUCCCUCGAGGGCUGCUGGAGACGCAGCUUCCUGGAGGCUUUGCCAGCUGCCUCCAGGGACGUCCAGCACCUCUUUCCCUAUCAGCCUGCUGAUAGGGGCCUAACCUCCCUCCCA
rnacentral:lncRNA from 1 species